rnacentral:tRNA from 1 species
UCUUGGCUGGCUCAGUUGGUAGAGCAUGUGACUUGAUCUCGGAGUUGUGAGUUUGAGCCCCACGUUGAGAA